rnacentral:rRNA from 1 species
UACGUAGGGUGCGAGCGUUAAUCGGAAUUACUGGGCGUAAAGGGUGCGCAGGCGGCUUCGCAAGUCAGACGUGAAAUCCCCGAGCUUAACUUGGGAAUUGCGUUUGAAACUACGAGGCUAGAGUGUGGCAGAGGGAGGUGGAAUUCCACGUGUAGCGGUGAAAUGCGUAGAUAUGUGGAGGAACACCGGUGGCGAAGGCGGCAUCCUGGACCAUGACUGACGCUGAGGAGCGAAAGCCAGGGGAGCAAACGGG